rnacentral:tRNA from 1 species
UAAUGAAGUGCCUGAAAAAAGGGCUAUUUUGAUAGAAUAGAUUAUGUGUCACUACCACCUUCAUUAU